UAGCUAUAGUUUAUAAAAAAUUUUAAGUUGUGGUCUUAAAUAACCCUCCACGAUAACUUCAAUAUC
rnacentral:tRNA from 1 species